GAGGGUAGAGCUCAGUGGCAGAGUGCCUGCCUAGCAUGCACAAGGUCCUGGGUUCAAUUCCCAGUUCUCCA
rnacentral:tRNA from 1 species